UGGGGAAUCUUGCGCAAUGGGCGAAAGCCUGACGCAGCCAUGCCGCGUGAAUGAUGAAGGUCUUAGGAUUGUAAAAUUCUUUCACCGGGGACGAUAAUGACGGUACCCGGAGAAGAAGCCCCGGCUAACUUCGUGCCAGCAGCCGCGGUAAUACGAAGGGGGCUAGCGUUGCUCGGAAUUACUGGGCGUAAAGGGCGCGUAGGCGGACAUUUAAGUCAGGGGUGAAAUCCCAGAGCUCAACUCUGGAACUGCCUUUGAUACUGGGUGUCUUGAGUGUGAGAGAGGUAUGUGGAACUCCGAGUGUAGAGGUGAAAUUCGUAGAUAUUCGGAAGAACACCAGUGGCGAAGGCGACAUACUGGCUCAUUACUGACGCUGAGGCGCGAAAGCGUGGGGAGCAAACA
rnacentral:rRNA from 2 species